GUCCUUGCUGUAAACGAUGCAUACUUGAUGUAGCUGGGCUCAACCCCGGCUGUGUCGAAGCUAACGCGAUAAGUAUGCCGCCUGGGAAGUACACUCGCAAGGGUGAAACCCAAAAGAAUUGACGGGGGCCCCGCACAAGCAGUGGAGCAUGUGGUUUAAUUCGAUGCAACGCGAAGAACCUUACCCAGGUUUGACAUACAGGAGACCGCGCUAGAAAUAGCGCUUCCCGCAAGGGCUGCUGUACAGGUGCUGCAUGGCUGUCGU
rnacentral:rRNA from 1 species